AGGUGAAAAUGAAGAAUUUACGCCGGGAAGUGCGUUUAUAUAAAGAAUCUGUUGGACGAAGUAAUUCGCGCAAGCCAUCUGAAGUUGCCACAGCUUGUGAAAAACUUCUGCCUGAUAUUGAAGACAUUUUCAACAAGAAGAGUGUCAGUACAUGGAGUGGUCUUCUGAGGCCUCCCAGACCCCUUCUUCCUAAUGGGUGUGGUGUCAUGGGGCAGGGUGCAUCUCAGCCUUUCUUCAGUAUCCUUCACAGGGACUCCUUUGUCUAGGAGAAAGAUGAUAUAAACUUUUUCCAAGCAAAUCAUCUCCUAACCCAUUAUUAUCAACAGUAACUGCUGUAAAUGGCAACAAAUGUAGACAAUUGUGCAUAGAAAAAUAGGUGAAUGGCAAGUGUGACAACUCCUCCCUCUUACAUGAUCUGAAGAAGAAAUAAGACGAGAGUGGUACCAGAUGCGGGCAGAAGAAAGACUAAGAGCAGAAGGACGGUUGGUAGAUGGUGAACCAGCACCUGCAGAUAUACUGGCUCAGGUUGCAGUUUUGGCAGACUCUGACUUGUGUGAU